rnacentral:tRNA from 1 species
GGUUCCGUGGUGUAGGGGUUAACAUGCCUGCCUGUCACGCAGGAGAUCGCGGGUUCAAUUCCCGUCGGAACCG